UCCUCACUUUCAAGGAACGUCUUUCUAGUCGCCUUUCAACUCCGUGCCGUUGUGGCAGACUUGAUGUUGCCACUUUUGACUAUCGAAUGGUGUGGUGGAAAGGUGGUAUUCAUUUUUGUACUACACUUAUAAUAGAAAAAUUAAAAAAUGUGCUCCGAUAAAAAAGUGUUUAAAAACAGCAUUUAAUCUGAAGUUUUGCGGCUUAAUUACAAAAAUUAUGUUAAUAAAUUCGGAUCUAUACAAAUUUAUCGUGAGUGGCAACGCUGGUGAUAAAUGUAGUGCGAAAGGCAACAAUGUGAAAAUGGAUGGAGGAAAUAAAGACAGAUGUUGUCUCUUGUUAUGGGUCACAUGAAUAAGGUUGGCAAUAGUGGCUAAAUUAUGGGGAUUCUGAGAUAUUUUUGAGGAGUGUCUGAAAUGUUUUUAUUUCAAAUCUUUUGAUUUUAAAGUUUGGAAUAUUUUCGGAUUGAACCAUCAGCGAUACUUAUAUCUUUAUUAUUAAUUUAUUUUUUAAGACAUAAAUUAACGCAGCGAAUUUUAGUGACUUUCAUUAUAUAUCCAUUGUGAAUGGGUUUGUUUACAUAUCUAAAAUGACCGGGAAUUUUUGCAGCUAACUUCGUGAUAAAUAAAUGCUCAAUUAACAUAAAUUUGUGACUGCUGUUAAACUUUAUUUAAUAAUUGAUAUUAAAAGUAAUGAAAGAAAAUAUAUGGGAAAAUGUCUUUUAAAUUCAUUUCUCUUGGGGAGAACACUCAAGAACGUUUAGAUACAUUUCCAAUUGGGUUGUAUAUGAUGUGCACUUGUUAGGAAAAAUGAAAGAAUAACAAUGAUCAAAUAUGAAAACUAUCCCAAUGCAGCAAAGCGGGUUUAUGGGAACCUGUGGCAAUUGGAAAAAAGAAAUUUAGAGAAAAAUCCUUGCCCAAUAGAAUAUAAAGAACAUUACAUGUACAUCGAAAAACUACAUCAAAAGUAAAAUGCCAACCCUAGUAUGUCAUUAGAUAAA